rnacentral:lncRNA from 1 species
GGACCGGGUGUGUGUAGCAGCCCAACACACCCCCUCCCCCGCCCACUCUCUUUCCUUCCUCUCUCCUCCGUCCCGAGUUUCCCCGAGACCGGCCGGCUUCACCACCAUCACAUACCGCCGUCCGGCCACUAGAGAUCGCCAGACUGGUCCCGUUCAGACCCUUGUCGCUCCCUCUUCCUUCCUGGGCCGGUGACCGGGUCGGUGACGCUGCCGGACAUGAGAAAUCCCGCCGGAACGCCGGAUAGUCCACUCGCCGGAAAUUUCUCCUCCGGCCACCAAAGUUCGUGACUCUUGGCUCAUCUUGUAGCUCUCGUCAAGGUGAGUAUUCCCUCAAAAAGAAUUGGUCCAAUUCGAUCUUGUUAGGGUGAAAUGUAUAAUUGAAGCUCUAGGGUUCUUUAUUGUGUUUUGAUUUGAUUGACCUGUUUAGAGCUAGAAUUGAGCUUAGUGUUGUUCAUGAAAGUUGUUCGAAAUGUUGAGAGGAAGGUUCUAUCAAAUUUUAGUGACGAUUGGGGGUGGCCGGAGAUUGGCCGCCGGCCGACCGCCGCCGCCGGCGGAGCUGGCGGCGGUGUUGCCACUUUUUGGGCAGUUUUUCAUGCUUAUUAAAUUGCUAAAAAUGGUAGAAACCCAUUGGUGGAAAGUUAGCAAUUUUUGGAGAAAUGUUGGUUAAGUUUCGGAUUUUUCGAAGACUAGGAUAUUAACGGUUAAAAUUAAUAACCGGGUAUAAGAAUAUUACUGUUAGACAGUUGUUGGAUUGUGCUGAUAUGUGGAAGUGGAUAUUGGAGUAUUAUGUAUGGAUUUGGGAUUGGUUUUAGUUGAAGAGGGUGUCCAUAGUAUAUCUAAUGGGUGUCCAUAGUAAAGACUAGUUAGAAUGCUUAGCAAACUUGGAUUCAAGGUGAAAGAAUGCAUGUUUGAUGAUUUGCAUAAGUAUGGUUUUGAUUUUGGACUUAUGGUGGUAAAUGUGAUGUGGUUAGGAAGGGUAGAGUUGUAGAUUAGAGUGUUGAACUACGAGUGGCUUGAUCCCUU